CCGCCGGCGACCGGCGCACGGGUGAGUAACACGUAUGCAACCUGGCCGUGACAGAUGGAUAACCGGGAGAAAUCCCGCCUAAUACAACAUAAUGCCGGGAGGGGACAUCCCCUGCCGGCCAAAGGGGGCGACCCCGGUCACGGAUGGGCAUGCGGCGCAUUAGGUAGUUGGUGGGGCAACGGCCCACCAAGCCGACGAUGCGUAGGGGUUCUGAGAGGAAGGUCCCCCACAUUGGAACUGAGACACGGUCCAAACUCCUACGGAAGGCAGCAG
rnacentral:rRNA from 1 species